AACGAACGCUGGCGGCAUGCCUAACACAUGCAAGUCGAACGAGACCUUCGGGUCUAGUGGCGCACGGGUGCGUAACGCGUGGGAACCUGCCCUUAGGUUCGGAAUAACUCCCCGAAAGGGGUGCUAAUACCGGAUAUUGUCUUCGGACCAAAGAUUUAUCGCCUUUGGAUGGGCCCGCGUUGGAUUAGCUAGUUGGUAGGGUAAAAGCCUACCAAGGCGACGAUCCAUAGCUGGUCUGAGAGGAUGAUCAGCCACACUGGGACUGAGACACGGCCCAGACUCCUACGGGAGGCAGCAGUGGGGAAUAUUGGACAAUGGGCGAAAGCCUGAUCCAGCAAUGCCGCGUGAGUGAUGAAGGCCUUAGGGUUGUAAAGCUCUUUUACCCGGGAUGAUAAUGACAGUACCGGGAGAAUAAGCUCCGGCUAACUCCGUG
rnacentral:rRNA from 1 species